rnacentral:rRNA from 1 species
CACUAUCGUUAACUGAAUACAUAGGUUAACGAGGCGAACCGGGGGAACUGAAACAUCUAAGUACCCCGAGGAAAAGAAAUCAACCGAGAUUCCCCCAGUAGCGGCGAGCGAACGGGGAGCAGCCCAGAGUCUGAAUCAGCUUGUGUGUUAGUGGAACGGUCUGGAAAGUCCGACGGUACAGGGUGAUAGUCCCGUACACCAAAAUGCACAGGUUGUGAACUCGAAGAGUAGGGCGGGACACGUGGUAUCCUGUCUGAAUAUGGGGGACCAUCCUCCAAGGCUAAAUACUCCUGACUGACCGAUAGUGAACCAGUACCGUGAGGGAAAGGCGAAAAAGAACCCCGGCGAGGGGAGUGAAAAAGAACCUGAAACCGUGUACGUACAAGCAGUGGGAGCACCUUCGGGUGUGACUGCGUACCUUUUGUAUAAUGGGUCAGCGACUUAUAUUCUGUAGCAAGGUUAACCGUAUAGGGGAGCCGCAGGGAAACCGAGUCUUAACUGGGCGUUAAGUUGCAGGGUAUAGACCCGAAACCCGGUGAUCUAGCCAUGGGCAGGUUGAAGGUUGGGUAACACUAACUGGAGGACCGAACCGACUAAUGUUGAAAAAUUAGCGGAUGACUUGUGGCUGGGGGUGAAAGGCCAAUCAAACCGGGAGAUAGCUGGUUCUCCCCGAAAGCUAUUUAGGUAGCGCCUCGUGAACUCAUCUUCGGGGGUAGAGCACUGUUUCGGCUAGGGGGUCAUCCCGACUUACCAACCCGAUGCAAACUACGAAUACCGAAGAAUGUUAUCACGGGAGACACACGGCGGGUGCUAACGUCCGUCGUGAAGAGGGAAACAACCCAGACCGCCAGCUAAGGUCCCAAAGUCAUGGUUAAGUGGGAAACGAUGUGGGAAGGCACAGACAGCCAGGAUGUUGGCUUAGAAGCAGCCAUCAUUUAAAGAAAGCGUAAUAGCUCACUGGUCGAGUCGGC